rnacentral:rRNA from 1 species
GUGAGGAAUAUUGGUCAAUGGACGAGAGUCUGAACCAGCCAAGUCGCGUGAAGGAAGACGGUUCUAUGAAUUGUAAACUUCUUUUGUGCAGGAAUAAAGUGGGUUACGUGUAACCUUUUGUAUGUACUGUACGAAUAAGGAUCGGCUAACUCCGUGCCAGCAGCCGCGGUAAUACGGAGGAUCCGAGCGUUAUCCGGAUUUAUUGGGUUUAAAGGGUGCGUAGGUGGAUUGAUAAGUCAGCGGUGAAAGUUUGCAGCUUAACUGUAAAAUUGCCGAUGAAACUGUCGGUCUUGAGUGCAAAUGAGGUAGGCGGAAUGUGUUGUGUAGCGGUGAAAUGCUUAGAUAUAACACAGAACUCCGAUUGCGAAGGCAGCUUACUGGGAUGCAACUGACACUGAUGCACGAAAGCGUGGGUAUCAAACAGGAUUAGAAACCCGGGUAGUCC